rnacentral:rRNA from 1 species
AUUGAACGCUGGCGGCAGGCCUAACACAUGCAAGUCGAACGAGUGGCGGACGGGUGAGUAAUGUCUGGGAAACUGCCUGAUGGCGGGGGAUAACUACUGGAAACGGUAGCUAAUACCGCAUACCAUCAGAUGUGCCCAGAUGGGAUUAGCUAGUUGGUGGGGUAACGGCUCACCAAGGCGACGAUCCCUAGCUGGUCUGAGAGGAUGACCAGCGACAGUAGAACGGAGACAGGGUCCAGAAUCCUACGGGAGGCAGCAGUGGGGAAUAUUGCAGUAUGGGCGCAAGGGUGAUGCAGCCAUGCCGCGUGUAUGAAGAAGGCCUUCGGGAUGUAAAGUACUUUCGGCGGAGAGGCGUUACCCGCAGAAGAAGCACCGACGAACUCCGUGCCAGCAGCCGCGGUAAUUC